AGAGUUUGAUCAUGGCUCAGGACGAACGCNNGCGGCGUGCUUAACACAUGCAAGUCGAGCGAGUUGAUUCCUUCGGGGAUGAAGCUAGCGGCGGACGGGUGAGUAACACGUGGCAACCUGCCUUAUAGAGGGGGAUAGCCUUCCGAAAGGAAGAUUAAUCCGCAUAACAUCAGAUUACCGCAUGGUAGACUGAUCAAAGGAGCAAUCCGCUAUAAGAUGGGCCCGCGUCGCAUUAGCUAGUUGGUGAGGUAACGGCUCACCAAGGCGACGAUGCGUAGCCGACCUGAGAGGGUGAUCGGCCACAUUGGGACUGAGACACGGCCCAGACUCCUACGGGAGGCAGCAGUGGGGAAUAUUGCACAAUGGGGGAAACCCUGAUGCAGCAACGCCGCGUGAGUGAUGAAGGCCUUCGGGUUGUAAAGCUCUUUGAUCAGGGACGAUAAUGACGGUACCUGAAGAACAAGCCACGGCUAACUACGUGCCAGCAGCCGCGGUAAUACGUAGGUGGCAAGCGUUGUCCGGAUUUACUGGGCGUAAAGGGAGCGUAGGUGGAUAUUUAAGUGGGAUGUGAAAUCCCCGGGCUUAACCUGGGGGCUGCAUUCCAAACUGGAUGUCUAGAGUGCAGGAGAGGAGAGUGGAAUUCCUAGUGUAGCGGUGAAAUGCGUAGAGAUUAGGAAGAACACCAGUGGCGAAGGCGACUCUCUGGACUGUAACUGACACUGAGGCUCGAAAGCGUGGGGAGCAAACAGGAUUAGAUACCCUAGUAGUCC
rnacentral:rRNA from 1 species